rnacentral:lncRNA from 1 species
GGUUGUAAUCUUCUUCUUCGUUACAUACAUUACAUAGAUUGUCAUUCGUCUGUUUCCAUUUAAACAAUAAUUGUUUUGUUGGUAAUAUAAAUUGUAAAAGUUUCCAUCUAUAUAUUUUUAACUUAUUUUCUUCUAAAUAAUGAAACAUGAAAACAUAUAGUUGGUUAAUACUAAGGUUUUCAUUAGUUUGUAAAAUACGCAUCCAUUUGCUUACACCAAUUGAUGGUUCAGUUUUAUCUUUACAAAUUGACUUAUAUAAUAUAUUUGUUGAAAAAUUUGAAGCCUCAAUGUAAUUACCUUUCCAGAUUAGUUUCUGUCUCGGAAUAUUUACAAUACUUUUAAUAGAACUCUCAGACUGUAACAUCUGAAGCCAGUCUUUUGGAAUGGCUUUUUUUUAAAUAUUUAUUUCUGCAAUCCAAUUAAUCUUGCAUUCUAAUUUAUCCAAAAUAAAAUGUUGAGAUAUAUUGCCAGUGUCGUCUAUAAUAUCAUUGACAAAUAUCAAGUUACUCUUAAUCCAAUUUUCAAAAAUAAUAGUUUUAUUUUUAAAAUUAAUCUGUUUGUUCCCCCAAAUUACCUGUUUCCUUACUUCUGUGAAGUUGGUAGGUUUUUUUGUUUGUCCACCGCCUGAUAUUACCCAACAUUUAAAUACUUCUCUAUAAAAUUCAGGGAUAUGUUUGAUAUAGUCCAGAAUUUUCUUCUUUUCAAAAUUCAUCUUAAAAAUUAACCAAUUAAUACCAACCACGCUGAGAUAUUUUAAUGGAAUCAACUUCCAGUUUGAAAUAUCAUUACUAAUUAGUUUACUUACCCAAGAUGCUUUUAGAGACAUAAAAUAACUUUGUAUGUCGAUCAUUUGUAACCCCCCUUCUUCGUUUGACUUUAUCAUGGUAUUUCUUUUAACCUUAUCUGGUUUACCAUCCCAGAUGUAUUUAUAACAUUUACUUUCUAUGUCUUUUCUGAAUUUCUCUGGAACUGUACAGGCACUUGCCAAAAAUGUAAAAAGUGGUAAAACUAAUGUUUUUAUAAUAAGAAUUUUCCCGAUUAAAGUUAAAUUACGUUUCCCCCAUAAAUGAAAUAGUUUAUUCAUUUUCUCAAUUUUAUUCUCCCAGUUUAAUUUUUCACAUUCUUCUCUGUUAUGACCAAAAUAUAUUCCCAAUGCUUUGACUGGUUUGUUUGUCCAAUUAAUCCCAGCUACCUUAUCUUUACUAUUUUUCAGUUUUCCUAUCCAUAUACCCUCUGUUUUAUUUUUAUUCAAAGUUAACCCAGAAAAUGAUCCAAAAAUUUCUAUUUCAUUCAUAGCAGCUUUGAUUUCUUUCUUAUUACUGAGAAAUAAAGUAGUAUCAUCAGCUAAUUGUGAAAUUUUAAUUCUAUGAUUUUUAUUAUCUAGUUUAACUACGAACCCUUUGAUAUCUCUGUUUUUUCGAAGUCUUAAAGCCAUGAU